rnacentral:rRNA from 1 species
CCUACGGGUGGCAGCAGUGGGGAAUAUUGCACAAUGGGGGAAACCCUGAUGCAGCAACGCCGCGUGAGCGAUGAAGGCCUUCGGGUCGUAAACUUUUGUCUUUAGGGAAGAAUGAUGACGGUACCUAAGGAGGAAGCCACGGCUAACUACGUGCCAGCAGCCGCGGUAAUACGUAGGCGGCGAGCGUUGUCCGGAAUUACUGGGUGUAAAGGGUGCGUAGGCGGGUAUGCAAGUCAGAUGUGAAAUACCGGGGCUCAACUCCGGGGCUGCAUUUGAAACUGUAUAUCUUGAGUGCAGGAGAGGAAAGCGGAAUUCCUAGUGUAGCGGUGAAAUGCGUAGAGAUUAGGAGGAACACCAGUGGCGAAGGCGGCUUUCUGGACUGUAACUGACGCUGAGGCACGAAAGCGUGGGGAGCGAACAGGAUUAGAUACCCCAGUAGUC